UACAGAGGGGGCAAGCGUUGUUCGGAAUUACUGGGCGUAAAGGGCGCGUAGGCGGCCCGCUAAGUCGAACGUGAAAUCCCUGGGCUCAACCCAGGAACUGCGUCCGAUACUGGCAGGCUUGAAUCCGGGAGAGGGAUGUGGAAUUCCAGGUGUAGCGGUGAAAUGCGUAGAUAUCAGGAGGAACACCGGUGGCGAAGGCGGAUCUCUGGGCCUUACCUGACGCUCAGGUGCGAAAGCUAGGGGAGCGAACAGG
rnacentral:rRNA from 1 species